CGAAAGUUAGAGAAGAGAAAGGAGAGGAGAAAGCUCUUGAGUAUUCGGUCACUAGGAGGAGGAAAAUUGAAGGCGGUUCGUGUGUGGAUCUCAUCAGCAUAUCGUCGCAAACAGGUAAUCCCCAACCAUAGUGGGCUUGGAGCUGUGAGGGAAUUCGGAGUGGCCACCCGUUCUGAAAGUUUGAUUUUCUUCUGGUGAACUGGACAUCCUUUUAUUUACGUUUGAAGUUUUGGGUUUUUAAAUGUAAUAAGGUCGCUUAAUUA